rnacentral:rRNA from 1 species
UAGGGAAUCUUCGGCAAUGGGGGCAACCCUGACCGAGCAACGCCGCGUGAGUGAAGAAGGUUUUCGGAUCGUAAAGCUCUGUUGUAAGAGAAGAACGUGUGUGAGAGUGGAAAGUUCACACAGUGACGGUAACUUACCAGAAAGGGACGGCUAACUACGUGCCAGCAGCCGCGGUAAUACGUAGGUCCCGAGCGUUGUCCGGAAUUAUUGGGCGUAAAUCGAGCGCAGGCGGUUUAAUAAGUCUGAAGUUAAAGGCAGUGGCUUAACCAGUGUUACCUUUGGAAACUGUUAAACGUAAGUGCAGAAGGGGUGAGUGGAAUUCCAUGUGUAGCGGUGAUAUGCGUAGAUAUAUGGAGGAACACCGGUGGCGAAAUCGGCUCUCUGGUCUGUAACUGACGCUGAGGCUCGAAAGCGUGGGGAGCAAACAGG